CCUGACUGCUAUCGGAUUGAUACUAAGCCAUGCGAGUCAUUGUAGCAAUACAAGGCAGACGGCUCAGUAACGCGUAGUCAACCUACCCUAUGGACGGGAAUAACCUCGGGAAACUGAGAAUAAUGCCCGAUAGAACAUUAUGCCUGGAAUGGUUUAUGUUCCAAAUGAUUUAUCGCCAUAGGAUGGGACUGCGGCCUAUCAGUUUGUUGGUGAGGUAAUGGCCCACCAAGACUAUUACAGGUACGGGCUCUGAGAGGAGUGGCCCGGAGAUGGGUACUGAGACACGGACCCAGGCCCUAUGGGGCGCAGCAGGCGAGAAAACUUUGCAAUGUGCGAAAGCACGACAAGGUUAAUCCGAGUGGUUUCUGCUAAAGGAACCUUUUGUCGGUCCUAAAAACACCGAUGAAUAAGGGGUGGGCAAGUUCUGGUGUCAGCCGCCGCGGUAAAACCAGCACCUCAAGUUGUCAGGAUGAUUAUUGGGCCUAAAGCAUCCGUAGCCGGCUCUGUUAGUUUUCGGUUAAAUCUGUACGCUCAACGUACAGGCUGCCGGGAAUACUGCAGAGCUAGGGAGUGGGAGAGGUAGACGGUACUCGGUAGGAAGGGGUAAAAUCCUUUGAUCUAUUGAUGACCACCUGUGGCGAAGGCGGUCUACCAGAACACGUCCGACGGUGAGGGAUGAAAGCUGGGGGAGCAAACCGGAUUAGAUACCCGGGUAGUCCCAGCUGUAAACUAUGCAAACUCAGUGAUGCAUUGGCUUGAUGCCAAUGCAGUGCUGCAGGGAAGCCGUUAAGUUUGCCGCCUGGGAAGUACGUACGCAAGUAUGAAACUUAAAGGAAUUGGCGGGGGAGCACCACAAGGGGUGAAGCCUGCGGUUC
rnacentral:rRNA from 1 species